rnacentral:sRNA from 1 species
AAAAAAAGGAUUUGAGUGUUAAAUUACAUGAGCAUCAGAACCGUCUCUAAGAGCAGAAUCUCCUCUCCAAGUAACUCUUUGGUUCGGAGGCAAUUUUCCAGAACGUUGAGCUUCGAAAUACAAAAGACUGUUUUUGAGAGCUUCUGCAUAAUUUGUAGAGACAGCUUCACGAGCCAUCGACAUUACUAUUAACACAAUGCAAAUACUUGUCCAUAAGCAUUGUGAAGAUCCAUUUUUCAAUUGAGACAUUGUU